UCCCUUGUGACUUAGCUGGUAAAGAAUCCACCUACAACGUGGGAGAUCUAGGUUCAAUCCCUGGGUUGGGAA
rnacentral:tRNA from 1 species